ensembl:lncRNA
CAAAUACUCUAGCAAACACAUUAAGCACCGCUUUAACAUAUCAGAAUAAUUAAUCAAUACAAACUUAAUUAAUGACUUUAAAACAAACGAGGACUGCAAUAUAAAGCGUGACAGUGACAUUACAAGAGAAACGCACUUUAUGCGUAAAGUUACUCACAGGAGAGAAGUGCAGGAGAUCCCGGAAAUUAUGGAGCAUCAAAUGUUUGGCGCGGAUAGCGGAGGUAAUGGAAAUAAUGAGAAAAGAAGAAAAGUGUGGAUUAUGUCUUUGAAACUGACGAUGAAAAGGGAAAUCUUCUGGCAAGAAGAAACAUAAGAAUAAGGGAUGUUUGAAGUGUUACACUCAGCCAACAGAAGCAUGUGGACAGACAUUGACUGUAAUGAAGGACAUCUGCUGAUGCACAGGCAGAAGUAUAACCCCUGCUGGACAUUGUGCUGGAGCUCAGGGAGGACACCACGAUCCCCCACACCUUCUCACUCACACCAGACCAUUCACUCAUAUCACAGAGAUCUGGCUGGACUUGAACCAGCAACCUCUGAAACCAUGAGGCAGCGCUUUUACCUCUGAGCCACAGUUCUCUUGUCUGAACAUGUGCAGGAACUUAUAUUUUACUAUUCUCCCUGUCAUUUUACAAUAAACCCAAAACAUUUUGAAC